rnacentral:tRNA from 1 species
AAUAAAAUGCCUGACAACAAAAGGGUUAUCUUGAUAGGAUAAAUUAUGUAAUUUUAUUACUUUUAUUA